rnacentral:sRNA from 1 species
AUUGCACGCCAGCGGGGGGGGAUGAGAAGCCCCGACCGGGGUUCGACAACUGGCGCAGCCAGUUGGACAGAUGACGAGCCCGCGAGGAAUCUACCCGCAGGGCGAGCAAAGCGAGUCAAUCCCCCCCUCACCGCUA